rnacentral:rRNA from 1 species
UGAACCUGCGGAAGGAUCAUUAUCGAGUUUUGAACGGGUUGUAGCUGGCCUCUCACGAGGCAUGUGCACGCCUGGCUCAUCCACUCUUAACCUCUGUGCACUUUAUGUAAGAGAAAAAAAUGGUGGAAGCUUCCAGGAUCUCGCGAGAGGUCUUYGGUUGAACAAGCCGUUUUUCUUUCUUAUGUUUUACUACAAACGCUUCAGUUAUAGAAUGUCAACUGUGUAUAACACAUUUAUAUACAACUUUCAGCAACGGAUCUCUUGGCUCUCGCAUCGAUGAAGAACGCAGCGAAAUGCGAUAAGUAAUGUGAAUUGCAGAAUUCAGUGAAUCAUCGAAUCUUUGAACGCACCUUGCACUCCUUGGUAUUCCGAGGAGUAUGCCUGUUUGAGUCUCAUGGUAUUCUCAACCCCUAAAUUUUUGUAAUGAAGGUUUAGCGGGCUUGGACUUGGAGGUUGUGUCGGCCCUUGUCGGUCGACUCCUCUGAAAUGCAUUAGCGUGAAUCUUACGGAUCGCCUUCAGUGUGAUAAUUAUCUGCGCUGUGGUGUUGAAGUAUUUAUGGUGUUCAUGCUUCGAACCGUCUCCUUGCCGAGACAAUCAUUUGACAAUCUGAGCUCAAAUCAGGUAGGACUACCCGCUGAACUUAAGCAUAUCA